UACAGAGGUGGCAAGCGUUGUUCGGAAUUACUGGGCGUAAAGGGCGAGUAGGUGGCCAUCUAAGUCAGACGUGAAAUCCCCCGGCUUAACCUGGGAACUGCGUCUGAUACUGGACGGCUUGAGUAUGGGAGAGGAACGUAGAAUUCCAGGUGUAGCGGUGAAAUGCGCAGAUAUCAGGAGGAACACCGGUGGCGAAGGCGGGUCUCUGGGCAACAACUGACGCUGAGGAGCGAAAGCGUGGGGAGCGAACAGG
rnacentral:rRNA from 1 species